CAGCACCUCAAGUGGUCAGGAUGAUUAUUGGGCCUAAAGCAUCCGUAGCCGGCUCUGUAAGUUUUCGGUUAAAUCUGUAUGCUCAACAUACAGGCUGCCGGGAAUACUGCAGAGCUAGGGAGUGGGAGAGGUAGACGGUACUCGGUAGGAAGGGGUAAAAUCCUUUGAUCUAUUGAUGACCACCUGUGGCGAAGGCGGUCUACCAGAACACGUCCGACGGUGAGGGAUGAAAGCUGGGGAAGCAAACCGGAUUAGAUACCCGAGUAGUCC
rnacentral:rRNA from 1 species